rnacentral:rRNA from 2 species
UACUAAGUUUCAACAACGGAUCUCUUGGCUCUCGCAUCGAUGAAGAACGCAGCGAAAUGCGAUAAGUAAUGUGAAUUGCAGAAUUCAGUGAAUCAUCGAAUCUUU